rnacentral:lncRNA from 1 species
ACUUUAAAGGGGAGGUUUUUCUUUCUUUUUUUUAAGCAGUAUUUUAUUUCCUUGCAGAUUUUUUUCUCUAGAAUUUGAGGAGAAAUGUCAGAAAUCACAUUGGUAGAAGGACAGGGGAGAAUUUAGCCAUAGUAGAUAAUUUGUUUUUGUAAUGAACUAAGUAUGUGCAUUGCUGUGUUGUCUUUUAUUUUCUUUCUUUUUCCUCCCCCUUUUGGUCUGUGCUUUCCAUGAGAUGUCUUGAUGAAAUCCAAGGUACAAUAUCUUGCAGAGAUUUCUCCGUCUGAGAAUUUCUGUUUAGCGUGGAAGGUUCCGAUUUUGGUAUUUUUAAGAACUGCUCAGCUGUCAAAAGCAAACAAAACGGGAAUAAUGUUUUGACAGCGGUAUAGUGUUAAAGAAAAUACUCGAGUCUGAAUAAAAAUUGCUUAUGCUGUGGGAAACGAAGGGUAACAGAAGAAACACCUUUUGUUUACAUACACACAUGUUUAUAAUCCCAAAUUUCCAUUUCGCCGAGCGGGUCUGCGUUGGGAGUUGUAGUCACCAUAAAUGAGGGAUUUUUCUUCCAGAUUUUGCUGCCUUUAAGGCGAAGAGAGGAGGGGAGCGCACCUCCGGCAGCGCUGCCGCCCGAGCCCUGCCCGUCGCGGCGAGCGGGCACCGCAGGGCCGAAGAGGAGAUGCCGGGGGGAGCCGGGCGCUCCCCACCUUUCACUCAUAGCCGCAGACAGAGCGAGGGAGAGACAAUUGCCCCAGACCAGGUUUUGCUCAUCGCUCCAGCGGCUCUCCAGGCUUCCCGAAGGGACUGAGAGUCUGCCGGCGGCGCCUUUGCGGGGGUCGAUGCGGAGCCACUAGCCCCACUAUACUCCUGAUGCG